rnacentral:rRNA from 1 species
UACGGAGGGUGCAAGCGUUAUCCGGAUUUACUGGGUUUAAAGGGUGCGCAGGCGGAUAUGUAAGUCAGUGGUGAAAUCUCCGGGCUUAACCCGGAAAUUGCCGUUGAUACUAUAUAUCUUGAAUGCUGUGGAGGUAAGCAGAAUAUGUCAUGUAGCGGUGAAAUGCUUAGAGAUGACAUAGAAUACCUAUUGCGAAGGCAGCUUACUACGCAGAUAUUGACGCUCAUGCACGAAAGCGUGGGGAUCAAACAGG